rnacentral:rRNA from 1 species
AUUGAACGCUGGCGGCAUGCUUUACACAUGCAAGUCGAACGGUAACAGGCCGCAAGGUGCUGACGAGUGGCGAACGGGUGAGUAAUGCAUCGGAACGUGCCCAGUCGUGGGGGAUAACGCAGCGAAAGCUGCGCUAAUACCGCAUACGAUCUAUGGAUGAAAGCGGGGGACCGUAAGGCCUCGCGCGAUUGGAGCGGCCGAUGUCAGAUUAGGUAGUUGGUGGGGUAAAGGCUCACCAAGCCAACGAUCUGUAGCUGGUCUGAGAGGACGACCAGCCACACUGGGACUGAGACACGGCCCAGACUCCUACGGGAGGCAGCAGUGGGGAAUUUUGGACAAUGGGCGCAAGCCUGAUCCAGCAAUGCCGCGUGCAGGAAGGAGGCCUUCGGGUUGUAAACUGCUUUUGUACGGAACGAAACGGCUCUGGUUAAUACCCGGAGCUAAUGACGGUACCGUAAGAAUAAGCACCGGCUAACUACGUGCCAGCCGCCGCCGUAAUAC